CUUGGCGGAGAGGGACAGGACCCGUCCCCAGCCUGCGCUCCGAUUGGUCAAUCUCUCUCCCUCCUCUGCGCGGGUCCUGGUCGCCGAGGCGUCGGCCCCUCGGCCUUUCCUUCGUUUUGACGCGAGUCCCAAGCUCUAAUACCUGACUCACAAAAUGACCAUAGAAAUUAAAAACAAGGACUAUGACUUGUUUUAUAACUAUGAAAGACAAAAUUAUGUUCUUUCCAUUACUGAACCCUUCCCAGCUAAACACGCACACACACUCCCAUCCCCAGUCUCCGGGGAGCAUCCCAUGGGGGAAGCGUGGACUGUCUCUGAAAACAACAUUGUUUGCAGAUUCAAGCUUUUCACAGGAGAUGAAUCAGUUUAGGAAAGGUGAUUCCUGAAACAUGACCAACAACAAAGCUUUGCAGGAUGUAUAAUUGGAUAAUGGAGGAUGUGCAUGAGCAGAGGAGAUACACACAAUAUGCAUGUUCGCCACCAUUCCUUGAAGUCCCACUUGCAUGUGGAGUUCAGGAUGCCCUAUGAGCACGGACUUCUGAUGAACCUAUGAUGUGUGGAAGUUGAGCAUAACUCAAAAUACAAGAAUGUCUGGGGUCUCGUCUGGGAAGUCUGAGCUGCUAAGGAAGGACACAGAUGGCUGGUAGGUGGCAUGUUCUCUAAGCUCUUCGACACAAAUGUCUGGUACCUGGGUCAGUAUGUAUUGCAAGCCACAUUGCACUUAGCUGGGGCUGUUGGCAGGAGGACCUAUAUGUAGCAUCUCUGUGAGAUUUGGGAUUCUCACAACAUAUUGAGGUCACAUUGCAGAUCUGUGGCAUGGAAGAAAUUAUACUCACCUUUGGAAAAUGUGACUUGCCAUACCUUCUCUUAUAUUUGUGGUUGAAAAAUGCUUUAAUCUUACUAACUUUUGGGGAUAUAUAUAUAUAUAUAUAUAUAUAUAUAUAUGCAUCUUUAAUUGUUUUUACAUGUUUUCGGCAUUAAGAAUUAAACAUGAAGAAUUCCAGAGACCAAUCUGGAUAUUUAGGUUCAAUCAUGUCACUAGGCAUAGAGCUCUCAACUUUUAUAUAAAUUUUAGAAUCCAUUUUUCAAGUGAAAAUUUUCCAUGAAAAUCUUACUGGUAUUUUUGUGGAUAUAUCACUGAUAUUACUGAUUUUUAAAUGCCUUUUUAAUAUUGUGUUCUCAUUCUUGAACAUACAUAUUACUAGUCUUUGUUACAGCUUGUUAACUAAAAUUUUAUAAUUUUCUUUGUUCAGGUCAUACACAUUUUUCUUGAGGUUUGUUUUUUGGGAUAUCAUAGUUUGUGUGGUUUUAUGAGUGGUAUUUACUAUAUGCUGCUAUAUUUUCUAAUUUGCUUACUACUGGUUUGUGGGAAAGCCAUUGAUUUUUGUAUAUUGGUCUUAUAUCAAGCUAUUCCACUUGGUUUAAUUUCAUAGCUGUUGCCAAUUGUGCUUGCUGAUUAUCUUGGAAUUGGGGAUCAUGUGCAAAUAAUAAUAGACUACCUUGGAAUUUGGCAUCCCGUAUGAAUGACAGUUAUUUCUUCCUUUAAUGUAUAUACCACUUUAUUUUCACUAUUUCAAUAGCUAGGGCCUCUAACAUAAUGUUGAAUAGUAGCAACAAUAGAGAGAAUCUUCAUCUUGGUAUCAACUGUAAUUUGAAAUAUUUUUAAUGUUUCCCCAUUGUGAGAUGAUGUUCACUUAAAUAUCUGGCACUUUGUUAAGUUAAAGGUGUUCUAUUCUAGACCUGUUUUGUUAAAUACUUUUAUUAUAAAUGAAUAUUCGUUUCUAUUAAAUGUCUAUCAUUACCCAUUGAAAUAAACAAACAACAUUUUACUGUUAUUACAGUAAUAGAUUUCUAAUUUGGGAAUAUACUUUAUCCUAUAAAAAACACUACCUAGUCAUGCCUUUUUCAAAAAUGCUCCUUAACUUGACUUGUUAAUAUUUUAUAUGGUUUUUUAAAUCCAUUUUAUAAGUAUAAAUGGCACAUUGUAGGGUGUGUGUGUGUGUGUGUGUGUGUGUGUGUGUGUGUGUGUAUGUGUGUGGUGUUUGCUAUCAUUGCUCAGUUUAGUUAACUAUUGAAUACACUAAGUUACUUCUUUCUUCUAUUGCAUGCAGUCUGCUUUGGAUCAUUUCAAAGUUCAGAUGAGGCUUCACUUUAUUUUCUUUGAUCUAGAAAUCUUUGCAGAAGAUGAGAAAUUGUUUAUUUUGGAAGUCUUGCCAGAACUCACUAUCUGGGCAAAAAUUAUUAGACUUGCUAUUGCUUCCAUCUCGUCUAGGGUUUAAGGUUUAAUUCAAUUGUUCUCAUUUCUCUUGAACACACUUGGGAAUUCAUAUAUUCCUGAAGCAUAUACAUUUUUUGUAGGCUUAAAAAUUUAUGGCAUAAAAUUUUGUACAUUCUCUUAUAAUAUUGUAAACUUUAUUUAGUAACUUUGUCAACUUGAGUUCCCAAUGUAUUUAUCCUUUUUUUUUC